rnacentral:tRNA from 1 species
UUAAGUAAAGCCAAAUUAGAGGCUUAUCACUGUUAAUGAUAGAACUGAGAGUAUCCUCUACUUAAA